rnacentral:lncRNA from 1 species
CACUGACUAAUUUCCACGUGAUGUGAUUAUAUGAAGGUGAUAAUAAUUGUGAUUGCUGUUGUAUUGCCAUUUGUGUGACAAACUGCAUGAUCAUAAAAUUAAUCAGUGACUAGAUAAAAAUAUUUUUAGCAUCUGUGUGAUUGUGUGGGGUGAGAGAGUUAUCUAACCCUACUCAUUGAGUUUGGCGCUCACCCCUGCCUACUUAUUUUUUUUCCAGGUAAUAGAAGAAAGAAAAAUCCUAUGGAGUUGAGACAAUAAUUAUAUAAGAUUGUUAAUGAUAGAAAUGACGAUGUAAAUGUAAAGGUAGAGUUCCGCAAUUGUAUUCCAGUUGGGUUGUAAAUGAAUAAUAAAAGUUCAUAUUAAAUAUAUGAACUGUAUUAGUGAUACAUAACUGAAAUAAAUUAUUAGGCUUGCAUCCACAGUUAUGAAUAGGAAAUGACGUUUGCAUAAUAUAGGCUUACUACGGGCUUCGGGGGCCUUAAGCCCACCCAGGUCCUAGUGCCGCUCCGGCCCACGGAAACGGGUCGUGACAAAAACCAUGAAGAAGAAUCAAUGGUGGGCUUGAUCUAGAUCACACCAUGGUGUUUGGUUUGGUCUAGUUUUCUUUGUUGACUCAAUGCUUAAUGCUCUGGUUCAGCCUGUUUAAGAGAGAAAAAGACAAUAAGAUAGAUGGAGAGUGAAUAUGUGCUCGAUUUUAAGCAAAUGGAGUUCAAUAUGACAUUGUCACUUACAUGUAGGAUAAAAACAUUAAUGUUUACACUCUAUACAACAAUUUCCUCCACGCUCCACUAAUCCAGUGUGGCAAGGGAUAAAAAAGCUAAAAAAAAGCUAGU